rnacentral:lncRNA from 1 species
AACAUAUAGUCUACAUUAACUAAAAUGCAUUCCACUUAAUCAUGUUUCCAUCCUCCUUUUAUGCCAGGUAUCAUUAAAACAUUUUAAGAUCCUUCAGUCAAAUUCUGCAGGGAUUGGUGAUCAACGAGAAGGCUCAGAAGUGGACAUCUGAUUGCUUACCUGUCCAGAUUCUCCUGUCUCCCGAGACCUGAAGCCACACCAUGGAUGAUUUUGAACGUCGCAGAGAACUCAGGAGGCAAAAGCGGGAAGAGAUGCGCCUUGAAGCAGAAAGGUAAGGAUCUAAGUUGAACAGGA